CGGGAGGGACAGGGACGGGGACAGGGACGGGGACGGGGACAGGGGCUCCCACCGCCGCCCUCGUCGGGCCGGCGCCUCAGCGAGGGUGUGAGGGCGGUGCAGGGCCCGGCGGUGCCGCCUGGGCUCGGCCCUCAGGGUCCGUGGGGCCGGGCGGGGAAGGCGCUCGGAACCUGCGCGGGUCGGAGGUGCCGCGGUGAGGGCGCAGGAGGAGACCCUGCCUGCUGGGAAACGGGAGCGAAAACCGCCCUGCCACCGGCAGGACAGCGGGGCCGCCGUGCCUCUGCUCUGGGGCUUUGAGUUGCCUUUCACCCUGCCGUGGGUGAGCUGGGCUGGCUGGGGCGUUCACACCCUGCCUCACCUUGCAGGGACUUGUCGUGUCCGUGCCCUCAGCCCGGGCCUGCGCUGAGAGCUCUGCGUGCUUUUUGAAUUUCACUCUGCAAAGCCGGAGGCAGGAAUUGUACACAGGUCAAUGCUAGGACAUCGUCGUGGGCUUUACUCGUUUGAAAUGGUUUUUAACUGCUGAAUGUGCCAAGACAUUUAUGUCCUUGUGGUGCUUAUUUAUUAAAAAUAACUAUCUUACUUGUGCCAGCAGCUGCUGUAAAAAAUGCAGUCUGCUGCUUUAACAUAAUAUGGUGUUAAAUGGAAUUUCUGUUAUUUAAUAUUUGAAAACUAUUGUUCAGAUAAUGGUGAUAGAUUAGUUAAAUCUAAUAUUUGUAUGUUGUCAUUGCUGCAUAAUGUGAACUUUAAUGUCAAGAUGAUGAAAACUUGGGUUAGCAAUGGUCAUUUGAACCAAAGGAGGAUAUUGGUUGCGUGGUUUCAUGUCUUGCAAAAUGGUGCUUAGAUAAUUUUGUCAUUUUGUAGCUCUGUUUGCUGCCUUAUGCUGAAGAACACACACCCUUCUGUUUGCCUACUUCUUCCUUUUGUUGUCAUCUCAUUGUUGCAGGCUUUUAUAUCACUUCCUGCUCGGCUCUGCCUGGGACAAUGGUUUUCAGUUUUUUAAUGGGUCUGUGAGUUCUCUCAGAGGCUGCUGAGGGAUUCUUGAAACGUUACAAAACCAAGCCUGCAGUGGGUUAUCCGGGGGCAGCUGUAGGACCCAGCAGGCAGCAAUGCAAACCCUUCAACAACGUGCAGGUUUUUUUAGUCUGACAGACUUGUUCUAGCCAUUGUGACAGAGGAGGAGUUCUGUGAAAUGUAUAGGAAAGUUUCUUCUGUUUUGUUACCCCCGAACAGUGGUUUCAGCAUGGGGACAGUCCCACGGACACGAGGUUUUUCAGCCUUUUCAAUGCUUUACAGUCAGAGCAGCAGAACAGGGUUUGGUGUUAGGCAGGACCCCCAGAGCAGAGCCAGGUCCCUCCCAGGCAGGCGAGGGACGGUGCUGGAGCUGAGCUGCGUUCAGGAGCAACCUACACGGAUCACAGGGAGCCAGGGACAGCACUCGUGACAGGGCACUGUGACAGUUCUUUAGAGGAGAAUAUUCCAAGCAGCUUCACCAUCAGUUUAAUGUUUCAGAAUCAUUCUGGUAGCAACUUAUGCAGUGCUGACACAAAAGAAGGGUGUUCACAGGAUUUGGCCUGAGACAUGGGGAGCACCCAGAGGACUGGAGUACAGCGUGCUGAGGAAACACUGUUCCAUAGGAAGAGCGAAGCCUGUGUGAAAUGUGCCUUCAGCUGGACAUGGAAACUGCUGAGCUGUUUCUGAGCCAAUACAGAAUACUAAGAAGAGGUGCAAGUUUGGGCUACUGGGAGGUUCCAGUAUCUGCUAGUAAUUAUGGCCCUGAACCAGGUUAGUCUGCUUUUCUUCUUAGAUAAAUGAAGAUGUAUUUAUCUGUUCCAUAUUGUUCCAAAGCAGGAGGCUUUCUCCUGGGAUUUGGAUGGUUAGAUCUCGGAUGUUACUUCUGCCCAAAUCUGAGCAAGGGUUUUUGGUGGUCCUGCAGCUUAUGUGGAUGUCCUAAAUGUUGGAUUCUUGGGUACUGUCAAAAAUAUGGAAGCAGAAAGAAAGCAUUUUGGUUUUGGCUGCUCUCUGGGGUAGCCAGACAAGGUGGGAGUAUGAAAGGUGUGAAGUGAGUGUGGAGUCUCUGAACAGCUGCGAUCAACAGCCCCUGCAGUUGUUACUGUUGGGCUGUUUUAAUGAGCAUUCCCUCCCCUCACUGGCAGUGCCAGCUGGGUGAGGGAUCCAGGGAUGCCAACUCAGGCAAUCAGGUUGGAGGAGCUGGCAGGUUCUUGUAGAUGCAGCUCUACAGUGACUUGAAAGGAUGGUAAUCCUUAGCAGACAGAAUGAACAACUGGGACUAACAUUAGUUGUGGGUAUUUUCUUGGCAAUAUACCUGGAUCCAGGGGAGCAGAGUUGCUCACAGCCUCUUAAAAACACUCACCAGACUAAAUUCUAACAGCUAAAUAGGGAAAAGAUAAUCUGAUUUGGGAACUUUGUUAAGUCUAAGGAAUGAGAGCUUCAGGAAGUUUUAUGGUAUCAGGACUGGGUUAUGUGAGCACCUGCCAGCAGAAAAUUAACUAUUUAGAGCUGUUCACAUGCUCGGGUAGGUGUGUGAUGGCCACAAAUUCCAAAUGAUUCAUUGGUGUGUUGCUUGUAGACAUAGGUCAGGAUUCAAGAAGGAGCAUAUUCUAAAGAACAAAACCUCCAUAAACAGGUCCUUAACCUUCCCCUGUUCCCCAGUAAUGCUGCCAGAGGUACUGCUGAGGAUCCUUCAGCCAAGGAGGCUGAAGCAGAAGGAUGUCACCUCAAAGUAUGGCUAACACUAGAAUUUUGUAAAUCACAAAUUAAAAAAGCUCAUGUAGUCUUUCCCCAGCUUCAUUACAUCUGGCUAUUUAAUAUACACUGAUGUCCCUGAGAGAUUCUUGCAAUGAAAAUGAGGUGCAUCAGGCAGAAAAUAACUUGUUUUGGUCUGUCUUCUUUGUAGCAUACCCUGUGGUUACUGGCUUUGUUUUAAAUGGAACCAAACCCCAAACAUCUUUAGCUCACUAUUCUCAAUCAACUGCCUGGAUUAUUUUCAGCUGAAAAGGGCCAGUUAAUUAUAAAAAGGAUUAUUGCCCAGAGUUCAAAUGUAGUUAAGUUUUAUCCAUUCUCUUGAAUUAAAAUGGUGGAUGUGGUCAGAAGAAAGAGAAUUUGAGAUUUAAAACCUUAACUGUGGAAUUCUAAAUUCAAGCAGCAUUUCAUUUAUGAACUUGAAGGUCUUAGGGCUUUUUACAUAAUGUUACUCCAGGCUGAUGUUGAUCAGCAAAAGUCCUUCUGUGGGAAUUCUUUGUACUCAGCAAUUUCCAGCUGCUCAAAAGGAUUAGGGGCAUUUACAAGCUGUAGUUUAAAAAACUAAAACCCCUUAAACAAAAUGGAAACAUCUCCAGUGUGGAUUGUGCUGGCUUUAAUGACAUUAGUCAUUUAAGUCAUACCUUCAGUUAAACUGGUAUCAUUUGCUUAGAUACACACACUUUCUGAGAUGAGGUGGAUUGUUGCCAAUAAUUCCAGUGUUAAAAUGAGAAGGACUUUAAUACAAUUUUAAGAACCAAAAUCCACAAACAAUAUGUCAGAUUUCCACAUAAUAGAAAAAUGCUGUCUCCUACUCAUAUUUUUUCCUCUAGUUAGUGGAGCUGACAAGUUUUUCUAAGUCAGAUUUAGAUUUCUCAAGCACCACAGAGUAAGUCCAGGAAUAAAGCUGAAAUUUAUGUUAAACAGGAGCUGCAUGACAAUUGAAAUGUUAACCUUUUCUUAUCAGAGAUAUCAUCUAGUACUAGUUGCUGCUUGUUUCCUAUCGAUGAGUGCCAGGGGUAUGGCAUGAGACAGGAGAGGAUGAUGGUAGCUGAACAGAAAAUGGGAAAACCAGUCUUGCUCAUGACCAUUUAUUCUGGAAAGUGCUGCUGGCUCUCAGGGGAGGGAGGGCCUGUGUGUUGAAGCAGCUGAGCACAACCACUGCCACGAGCUGCGUGGGAGCUGUGUGGUGAGCUAAUAUUCUCACCCCCCCUGUUACUCACAAUUGCUCAGUGCUCAAAUCAGAUACAACACCUGCAUUUUGUGAGGUCCUGCAUUUACCUAUGUUGGUUUGUGGGGUUUGUGUGUGUGUGUUGUUUCUUUUUAAAAUAUGUCAGCUAAGAUCAACAGGAAUGACUGAAAGGCUUGUCUGAGAUCAUACAUGAGUGACUAUGGCUGGAUAAGGCCCAAAAUUCUCCUAGUUCCCAGACUUCAGUGUAGCCACAAGACCACAGUGCUUUAGUUGAACUUCAUCCUCUACUGGAACUUGGCACAAGGAAACCCAAGGAAAGAAUUUACUUUUGAAGUCUCUUCUAAAUGUUGUAACUUGUUUUGUCCUUUGUAUUCAACUAGUCCAGGAAAAAUAACUUCUAAAGAUUUGGUUCAACUGUCUAAAUGAAUGUUAUGUGCUCCUAGAUUUUUUUAUCUUUUGAUAGCUUGAGGUUUGCCAGAAAGCAAGUAGCUGUGCAGUCUGCUGCUUUGAAGGGCACAGACAUCAAUGGAAGAAAGGUAUCAUUUCAGAUCUUCCUCCCGUAAAGCAGAAAGCACACUGACUGCUAAUAAAAUACAUUCCAUUUCUGGGCAGGAAGCCUUUUUUUCCCAGGUUCUUAUAGUUCAAAGUGCUGCUCUUUAGGACCUGUUUAGUGUUUUGUUGGUUUUAGUUUUUACACAGAUCUUGAGUGGGAAGUGUGAAUAAAGUGUAAAGUUAAAUGUGCCCCUAAUGUAUUGCUGAGGGGUAAUUAUUUAGAAGAUGUUUCUCUUUAAGAGUUCCUUAGGAUCCUGCAUAAAGGUAUCUUUGAUCUGCCCUCUCCAAUGAAAGCUGACUGACAGUGCAGUUUUUGAAAAGCAAUGGGUUUAUAAGAAUAAAAGUGAUUAUCUGUUUAAAUGAAAUGUCAUUCAUGAAGCUGCAAAUUCCAUAAUAACAUGCCUGGAGUACCUGUUCUCUCCUCCCCCUAUUUCCAAAGUGAGCUGCUUAGCUCAGGUGCAUUGACUCUCUCAGCAAGAAUAUUACUUUGUGUUUGUAAAGCUUUCCUUGGUAUAGAGGUAGUGCUACAGAUUUGGUCAAAGUGAGGUGGUGUAAAGCCCUCAGUCUGCUCUUGCCUGUGAGCCAUGGGCACAGGAUAGUCUUAACAGUCUUGCCCAGAGGAUGAAUAACAUGGUAGGCAUACAGGAAUUCUUUUAAUUUGUGCAUUUGUAACUGAGCUGUGUAAGCUAGAGAGCUCUACUUGCUCAGCCAAGAGCUGUACUUACAUACUGGUGCUGCCCUAACUGUACCUCAAGUGCAGGAGUUUGAACUAUCUGUGAAAAGUUUCUGGAUGCUUUAGUUUUUGAUGUAAACAUGCAGAUGUGCUUGUCUGCUCCUCGCAGUUUUGCCUGUCCUGGGUGCAGCUGGUCCUGUGCUGCCUCCUGGUCACAGCCAGGCAGCUCAGGAGCUGGAGCCUCAUUUUCUCUGUGCAGCUCAGGCUUGGUGCUUUUGGCCUGAGUGCAGGUCUGGCUGUAAGAGGUGAGUGGGCACAGCCCCUGCUGGGAGAGUCCCCUCAGAGCCCCCAGGGGCGCAAUUGCUGUCAGUGCUCAGGCAGGAACAGAGGGAUGAGCUGCCUCCUCUCCCAACAUAGUAACAUUGCUGAGACAACUAUUACUUACAGUAUAAAAACUGGAAAGAAGUAACACUAUUUUAAACUGCAUUUACCUAAUUAAAAAUAGUUAACUUCUAGGCUAGUUAAAAGCCUGGAUGUUAGAACACCACGAGAAGAGUACAUCUGCAGUGUAUUGUGCACUGAUAUUGAAGUGGUUUUUUUUUUUUUAAAAAAAAGGCCUUUAUGAUUGGAUGUGAUGUUAGCUAUGGAACACACAGCCUCCUGCUGCAAGUCUUAUUCAACAGUUCAGAUGGGAUUCGUGUUGUGUAACUUGAGCCACAGAUUAUUUGAAGUGGUUUGAUACAAUUUUCAAAGGCGCAUCAAGGUGAGUGCAACAGAAGUUAAUGAUAAGACAGUUCUUCUGUCAUACAUAAUCCAAGCUGACUGGAAUGCAAAACAUGAAAUGACAUAUUGUUGAAAUUUUUUUUUUCCCUAAGAACCUCAGCCUAUGACUUUAAAAAAAGUUCUGUGACCUACCCAGCCCACAUUUGAAAGCACUGCCUUGAAAACACGCUGCCUGAGAGCCUUAACAUGGUGGGAGGCUUUUUUGAAAAAAAUCCAACACAUGCUCUAACAUCAAAGGGAUUAUAUAAAGUUAGAACAGUAAAGAAGAAGCUACACUGGAUACAUUGUAAUCUAGAAAUACAAUUUUUUGUGACUUGUUUUCCUUAAAAAAGCUGGUGCAGAGAAUACUGGAUUUUUCCUGACUGUUUUAAUAAUGACUAAGAAUAUUCACUUAUUUAUAAUAAAUUAGGUCUGCAGUAUAAAUGAACAUACGAACCUUUUAUACUGUUACUUUUAGAGUAUCUAAAAUGGAUUUAAACUAUUUCAAGAUCCAUUUAAUCACUUGCAAUUUGUAUUACUUUAAGAAUCUUCUAUACAGCAAGUUGAACAGAAAAAAAGCAAACAUUUUAGCAGCCCCUUUUCCCUAUAACCAUUUUCAUAUAAGAUAGUUUUAAAUAGCUUUUUUAACGCAUUUGCAUGUGCUCUUCCUCCCCCUUUUUCUAAAGGCAGCACAGCCAAAAGACAAUGCAAGAAUUGGCAUUUGCUGACUGACUCCGUUUUCUUCUCCAUCUGGUAAAGACAAGGGGAAGACAGAGACUUAAGUCCCAAAAUGGAAAAGAAUUGCUCAAGCUGAAGAAAUAUUAAAGAAGAAGAAACCCAUCAGUUUAGUCAAUGCACGAAAUGCAACGUGAAAUGAAGCUAUUAAUGCUGUAAUGAAGAACCUGUUCCAGAAUAAUCCUUAUUUCCAUUUUUUAUGGUACAGUUAUGCCUAUUUCUCUGAAGCUUUCCCCCUGUCUGAAGAGGAUUCACCUGGCUGGCAGCCAUAUGGAGUCACAGCACAGUGGGAUUGUACUGCUCAUAUUUAUCUGGAAUUGUUCUCUAAGAGCAGUUGGAGAAGAAAGAAAAAUGAAAGCACUCUUUAAAAGAGUGGGCUGUUGGGACUGGAACCAAGUGCAGGGCAAGCACUCAAGCUGACCAAUAAUGGAAUUAAGCAGCACAAAUACUCUCCAAUAAACUACAGGACGUGAAUUCUCCAAACUGAGUGCCCACUUUUUGCUAACUGCCUUAUUAAACAGAUCAAGGUAACAGUGCUUAAAACAGAGCAGAUUCUGGUACUGUUUAUCUACAUAUUGCUGCUGCCACUAAUCAGUUGCACAAAUAAUAACCACAGUGGAAAGCUUGUUUAAUUUGGGUCGUACACUUCAUGACCUCCAGAUGACAGUAAUACCAAAGCAGGUUAUAUAAACUGAAGUAUUGACAACUUAAAUAAUUUUGGUGUGCUCACUUUUAGUAGCAGCAUUUUCAUCAGUUGGAGGCUGUUACACGUGUGCUACACUGCUCUAGAUCCCAGAUGCCAGUUUAACCUCUGACAACUUCAAAGCAACAGUUCUGAAGUUUCAGUAUGGAAUUGUUCAACUUCUUAACAACUUCAAAGCUCAACAUAGAGCCCUGUUCAAAAGAACUAUAUAGUGUGACUAUAAAAUAAGGGUAUAAUUAUGCUAAACCAAAAUUGAUCCUAAAAUUCCCAGCUUGGUGAACUGCAGUGCUGAUGGGAGUAUUCCAAAAGUUUUGUCACAGAAUGUAUUGGACUUCAGUCCAAUUUUCUACAAAAAUUCAACUUUUAAUAGUAUUGCUGUUUUGCAUGUUGGUGCUUAGGUUACUAGAGCCUGUCUAUUUUUGCUGCCUGACACAGUUCAGUCCAGGAUUUGCACACCAAGAGUGAAAUCUGUAAUCUACAGUAUUAAAGCAAAGCCAGCUAUUCUCAGCUGAUAAACUAUUGUGAUCCGAUUACCAGUUAAAGUAACAGCACCUCACACUUCAGCCAUAUUUUCACAGGACAAAGAGCACCAGAAUUAUGUAACUGGAAUAUUUUCAAAUUAAUAUAAAUGCAACUAUAGCAGUUUGCAUACAAAGACAGUCUUUCAAAUUUCUAUGUAAUUUCCUUCAAAGAACUAAGUGCCCCUUUUUUGGUGCUAAAAGACACUUUCAAAGUUGUUAUCAUCACCUCCAGGACGUUACUUUUGUGUCACAUGGAUCACCUUUGUUUCUGACUGUGUACAGUUUUCUGGUAUAUGAAGAGUAAAUAUUCAGAAGCAGUACCAUGGCUUCAUGAAAAGGUGAUGCUGUCCUGGUAUAGAGUUUCAUUCGGUUAUUUCUUCUGUGCAGUGGACGCUCUUUGAAAUGUCAGCCUGAAGUGCCUUUCACAAAGUGACAGUUGACCUUUCUUAACUUGUAAAGCAGUGUUGAUAAACUCAUUCCUAUUACUCUUGCAUUAAAUAUUAAAAAACCCAAACCAAAACAACAAGCAACCCCAUGGAGUGGCAGUUGCAAAUGUAAAAUACAAUAAUUACUAUUAGUAAGCUAAAAAAAUUUCCCUUGUUUAAGAAAAAUUCCAGUCUGUAAAGAAAAUAAAAUUGUAAAAAUUGAUUCCAUAAACACUCACUUGUC